UCUUUAAACAAUCUUGGUGCGGUGUUACAUGAAACUGGAAACUACGACAAAGCUAUAGAGUUUUACGAAAAAGCUCUGGAAAUUCAAAAACAAUCGUUAGGUCCAAAUCAUGUUGAUGUCGCUGCGUCUUUAAACAAUCUUGGUACGGUGUUUGAUAAAACUGGAAACUACGACAAAGCUAUAGAGUUUUACAAAAAAGCGCAGGAAAUUCAGAAAAAACGUUAGGAACUAGUCAGGUUGAUGUUGCUAAGUCUUUUAAACAAUCUAGGUGUAAUGUGUAAUGAAACUGGGGAAUAUGAUAAAGCUUUAGAGUUACAAUUUGGUAGCUACGUGUUUUAUACAAAAUUGUGCGAUCCAAAUUAUGUUAAUGUAUAUCUUUGUCUAUAAAUAACAGUAAACAUGCAGUAAAGCUUUGGUGACUAAAAAUUACUAUGUUCUAAUCAUAUUAUUUUCGCCGUGUCUUUGAUAUUAUAAUCUUUUAUUGGUGUUUUGUAAAACUGCAGUAUACGAAAAAAGCGAUAGAAUAAACUCUUUACGCUUCGGAAUUUUUCAAAUAUCUUUAGAUCAAAUCACAGUGCCUAUUUUUGAUAUAUAGACUGAAGGAGCAAGGUCAACUCACCAAGUCAACUCCCCUCCCCUCCUCACAAGGUAUUUUUGGUACUGAACAAAACAAUUUCAGUAUGCACUUUAUGAGGUAAAAUGAACCUAAAGAUGUAAUGGUCCUUUUCUAUAUAUAGUUUCACUGAUAUCUAGUCAAAAAACUUGCUCUACAUCCAGGAAUCAUCCUAACUAGAACUUAUAACUGCCCUGAAUCUGACAUUUCC